rnacentral:rRNA from 1 species
AACGUAGGACGCGAGCGUUAUCCGGAGUUACUGGGCGUAAAGCGCGGGCAGGCGGUCUGACAAGUCUGAUGUGAAAUCACCCGGCUCAACCGGGCGAGGCCAUUGGAAACUGACAGGCUGGAGGGCAGUAGAGGUAGGCGGAAUUCCGGGUGGAGUGGUGAAAUGCGUAGAGAUCGAGAGGAAGACCAGUGGCGAAGGCGGGUCUCUGGACAGUUCCUGACGCUGAGGCACGAAGGCCAGGGGAGCAAACGGG